GUUCUUUGAGGACAUCUGAUAAAAUUGGAACGAUACAAAGAAGAUUAGCACAACCCUACGCAAGGAUGAUAUGGACAAAUUGAGUUACUAAAAUAUUU